CAGUAGCCGCGGUAAUACGUAUGUCACUAGCGUUAUCCGGAUUUAUUGGGCGUAAAGCGCGUCUAGGUGGUUAUGUAAGUCUGAUGUGAAAAUGCAGGGCUCAACUCUGUAUUGCGUUGGAAACUGUGUAACUAGAGUACUGGAGAGGUAAGUGGAACUACAAGUGUAGAGGUGAAAUUCGUAGAUAUUUGUAGGAAUGCCGAUGGGGAAGCCAGCUUACUGGACAGAUACUGACGCCGAAGCGCGAAAGCGUGGGUAGCAAACAGGAUUAGAUACCCGAGUAGUCCCUGUCUCUUAUACC
rnacentral:rRNA from 1 species